rnacentral:rRNA from 1 species
CAGCAGCAGCCGCGGGAAUACGGAGGGCGCGAGCGUUACCCGGAUUUACUGGGCGUAAAGGGCGUGUAGGCGGCCUGGGGCGUCCCAUGUGAAAGGCCACGGCUCAACCGUGGAGGAGCGUGGGAUACGCUCAGGCUAGAGGGUGGGAGAGGGUGGUGGAAUUCCCGGAGUAGCGGUGAAAUGCGCAGAUACCGGGAGGAACGCCGAUGGCGAAGGCAGCCACCUGGUCCACUUCUGACGCUGAGGCGCGAAAGCGUGGGGAGCAAACCGGAUUAGAUACCCGCGUAGUCCCUGUCUCUUAUAC